rnacentral:rRNA from 1 species
UUAAGAUACUAAGGGCAAUUGGUGGAUGCCUUGGCGUCAGGAGGCGAUGAAGGACGUGGUAGGCUGCGAUAAGCCUCGGGGAGCCGUCAAACAGGCAGUGAUCCGGGGAUUUCCGAAUGGGGGAACCCACCUGGAGUAAUGUCCAGGUAUCCUUAGGCUGAAUACAUAGGCUUAAGGAGGCGAACCCGGGGAAGUGAAACAUCUCAGUACCCGGAGGAGAAGAAAUCAAAAGAGAUUCCCAAAGUAGCGGCGAGCGAAAUGGGAAGAGCCCAAACCAGGUGCUUUCGAGUAUCUGGGGUUGUAGGGCCUCCAUAAAGCGAUCCAUGAGUAGAUAGCAGAAGUACCUGGGAAGGUACCCCAUAGAGGGUGAAAGGCCCGUAUGCGAAAUCGAAAGUGGCGCAGGAGGUACCUGAGUACCGCGGGACACGUGAAAUCCCGUGGGAAUCUGGGAGGACCAUCUUCCAAGGCUAAAUACUACCUGACGACCGAUAGCGCACUAGUACCGUGAGGGAAAGGUGAAAAGAACCCCUGUUAGGGGAGUGAAAUAGAACCUGAAACCAAUUGCCUACAAGCAGUUCGAGCCUGGAGCGAUCUGGGUGAGAGCGUGCCUUUUGCAUAAUGGGCCAGCGAGUUAAUCUGCAGUGCGAGGUUAAGCUGAAAAGCGGAGCCGUAGCGAAAGCGAGUCUGAAUAGGGCGAAUUAGUACUGCGGAUUAGACCCGAAGCCGAGUGAUCUAUCCAUGGGCAGGGUGAAGCCCCGGUAACACGGGGUGGAGGCCCGAACCAGUGAAGGUUGAAAACUUCUUGGAUGACCUGUGGAUAGGGGUGAAAGGCCAAUCAAACUCGGUGAUAGCUGGUUCUCCCCGAAAUAUAUUGAGGUAUAGCCUCGGGUGUUUACUUGCGGAGGUAGAGCACUGAAAGGGCUAGGGGCCCCACCAGGUUACCAAACCCUAUCAAACUCCGAAUGCCGUAAGUUUAAGCCCGGGAGUCAGACUAUGGGUGAGAAGGUCCAUGGUCGAGAGGGAAACAGCCCAGACCGUCGGCUAAGGUCCCCAAAUCCAUGCUAAGUGGGAAAGGAGGUGGAACCGCCCAGACAGCCAGGAGGUUGGCUUAGAAGCAGCCAUCCUUUAAAGAAAGCGUAAUAGCUCACUGGUCUAGUGGUUCUGCGCCGAAGAUGUAACGGGGCUAAGCAUGGUACCGAAGCCACGGCCGAGCACCUAAAGUGUUAGGUGCUCGGGGUAGGGGAGCGUUCUCCUAAGGGAUGAAGGUAUGCCGUGAGGUAUGCUGGACUAAGGAGAAGUGAUAAUGCUGGCAUGAGUAACGAUAAAACGGGUGAGAAACCCGUUCGCCGUAAACCCAAGGUUUCCUGGGUAAAGCUAAUCUGCCCAGGGUUAGUCGGCCCCUAAGGCGAGGCCGAAAGGCGUAGCUGAUGGGAAACAGGUUAAUAUUCCUGUACCUGCUGGGUAGUCGUUUGAGCGAAGGGGGGACGCAGAAGGGUAGGUCAGCCACCUGUUGGAAUAGGUGGUUCAAGCCUGUAGGCUGGGGACUCAGGCAAAUCCGGGUCCCUGAUAAGGCUGAGAGGUGAUGACGAGUCAAUAAAGACGGAAGUGACUGAGCCCAUGCUGCCGAGAAAAGCCUCUAAGCGAGACUACCUGGUGGACCGUACCGCAAACCGACACAGGUGGGUGGGGUGAGUAACCCAAGGCGCUUGAGAGAACUCUGGCUAAGGAACUCGGCAAAAUGACCCCGUAACUUCGGGAGAAGGGGUGCUCUCUUGGGUGAAGGAAUUUAACUUCUGGAGCCUGGGAGAGCCGCAGAGAAAUGGCGGGGGCGACUGUUUACUAAAAACACAGGUCUCUGCUAAGUCGUAAGACGAAGUAUAGGGACUGACGCCUGCCCGGUGCCGGAAGGUUAAGGGGAUCAGUUAGCCUUCGGGCGAAGCUGUGAACCGAAGCCCCGGUAAACGGCGGCCGUAACUAUAACGGUCCUAAGGUAGCGAAAUUCCUUGUCGGGUAAGUUCCGACCUGCACGAAUGGCGUAACGAUCUCCGCGCUGUCUCGGCCAGAGACUCAGUGAAAUUGAAAUCUCGGUGAAGAUGCCGAGUACCCGCAGCAAGACGGAAAGACCCUGUGCACCUUUACUACAGCUUGACAUUGGACUUUGGGCUAUCAUGUGUAGGAUAGGUGGGAGGCUGUGAAGCCGGUACGCCAGUAUCGGUGGAGCCGCCCUUGAAAUACCACCCUUGGUAGUCUAGGGUUCUAACCCAGAGCCGUGAAUCCGGUCUGGGGACAGUGUCUGGUGGGUAGUUUGACUGGGGCGGUCGCCUCCCAAAGAGUAACGGAGGCGUGCAAAGGUUCCCUCAGGCUGAUUGGAAACCAGCCGUUGAGUGCAAAGGCAUAAGGGAGCUUGACUGUGAGAGAGACAUCUCGAGCAGGGACGAAAGUCGGCCUUAGUGAUCCGGUGGUUCCGCAUGGAAGGGCCAUCGCUCAUCGGAUAAAAGGUACGCCGGGGAUAACAGGCUGAUCGCGUCCAAGAGUUCACAUCGACGACGCGGUUUGGCACCUCGAUGUCGGCUCAUCACAUCCUGGGGCUGGAGCAGGUCCCAAGGGUACGGCUGUUCGCCGUUUAAAGUGGUACGCGAGCUGGGUUUAAAACGUCGUGAGACAGUUUGGUCCCUAUCUGCUGUGGGCGUAGGAGACUUGAGAGGGCCUGCCCCUAGUACGAGAGGACCGGGGUGGACGAUCCUCUGGUGGACCUGUUGUCGCGCCAGCGGCACAGCAGGGUAGCUAUGAUCGGAAGGGAUAACCGCUGAAGGCAUCUAAGCGGGAAGCCUGCCUCAAGAUAAGGUCUCCCUCUGAGCACCUAAAUCAGGUGCUUGGCUGAAGGACCCUGGAAGACGACCAGGUAGAUAGGCCGGAAGUGUAAGUGCAGUGAUGCAUUUAGCUGACCGGUACUAAUAGUCCGUGAGUCUUAACCCU